AAGGAUUUAAGUUAGUUAAACUAUUAACCUUCAAAGUUGAAAAAAGAUUAUUCUAAGCCUUA
rnacentral:tRNA from 1 species